UGAAAAGCUAAUUAGCUGCUAAUGUGGCUAUCCUAGUAACUUCAAGAGCCAGUGUCUUUGAAAAGACCCUACAACAAGGUACAUAAUGUUUCAAGUGUGAUUAACAAGCCUACUUUCUCAAAGUUCUGUUCCUACCAACUGUAUGGGAUGAACAGGAACAUCUGUUAAGUGUGUACUAUAAAUGUGGUAACGGUUUGACAUCUGUGAUAUUCUCUGACGUUGCAGAUGCAGAGGACUUGAGGCCAUGUGCCACCUCAAGCCAGAGCGACAUUAGUCCAAGUGGCAGCCAGGAAGAAGCUGGCCAAGACAGAGCAUCAGAAUCAGACCAAGAGCUGCCAUCCCUGCUUGAUGAUCCUGUGGCUUCU